UUACUUGGCCUUGUCCUUGAGGCUGCCGCACCCUCCCACCCCUCACCCUUCUCAGAGCACCUGGGACCACUCAAUUUGGGUUUCCUGUAGGCGGGGAUGCAUUCUGUUUUCUCAAAAUUUUGUUUUUCUUCUAGACUACUCGAGGGCAGAUUUUGCAGGAAUAUCGAAAAAUCAAAAAGACCAACACCAACUACAGCCAGGAGAAGCACCGCUGCGAGUACCUGCACAGCAAGCUGGCCCACAUCAAGAGGCUCAUCGCCGAGUAUGACCAGCGGCAGCUGCAGGCUUGGCCCUAGCCACCCUCCCCAAUGGCGGGGAUCUGGGAGGGUGGGGGGAGCAAAAGGCGGGGAGAGAGGAUUUAUUUAAAAAAAUAAACCCGAGGAAGAUGCUCAUCUGAGCCAGCACUGCUGGCUUUCAGGGCAGCCCCUGCAGACGUCUCGCCCUGGCGGGUGGCUGCAAGCCCACCUCGGCCCACCCUGCGCCUCCUGAGCAGUCCCUGCCUAUGACGGGCUCCCCAGGAAGCCCACUGCCU
rnacentral:sRNA from 1 species